CAGGGAGGUACUGGUACAGAGUCAAUGUGGAGGCUAUAUACAGGGAGGUACCGGUACAGAGUCAAUGUGGAGGCUAUAUACAGGGAGGUACCGGUACAGAGUCAAUGUGGAGGCUAUAUACAGGGAGGUACUGGUACAGAGUCAAUGUGGAGGCUAUAUACAGGGAGGUACUGGUACAGAGUCAAUGUGGAGGCUAUAUACAGGGAGGUACCGGUACAGAGUCAAUGUGGAGGCUAUAUACAGGGAGGUACCGGUACAGAGUCAAUGUGGAGGCUAUAUACAGGGAGGUACCGGUACAGAGUCAAUGUGGAGGCUAUAUACAGGGGGUACCGGUACAGAGUCAAUGUGGAGGCUAUAUACAGGGAGG
ensembl:lncRNA